rnacentral:rRNA from 1 species
GACGAACGCUGGCGGCGUGCUUAACACAUGCAAGUCGAACGGAAAGGCCCUGCUUUUGUGGGGUGCUCGAGUGGCGAACGGGUGAGUAACACGUGAGUAACCUGCCCUUGACUUUGGGAUAACUUCAGGAAGCUGGGGAUAAUACCGGAUAGGAGCUCAUGCUGCAUAGUGGGGGUUGGAAAGUUUCGGCGGUUGGGGAUAGACUCGCGGCUUAUCAGCUUGUUGGUGGGGUAGUGGCUUACCAAGGCGUUGACGCGUAGCCGGCCUGAGAGGGUUACCGGCCACAUUGGGACUGAGAUACGGCCCAGACUCCUACGGGAGGCAGCAGUGGGGAAUAUUACACAAUGGGAGGAAGCAUGAUGCAGCAACGCCGCGUGCGGGAUGACGGCCUGCGGGUUGGAAACCGCUUUCGCCUGUGACGAAGCGUGAGUGACGGUAAUGGGUAAAGAAGCACCGGCUAACUACGUG